CUUUCAUUCUCUUUCCUUCUCUCUCUUUCUUCUACUCUCUCUCUCUCUCUUUGUCUGAAUAUAUAUGGAAUACUUAUGCACAUCCAUUCUAUACUAGUAUAAUAUUUUUUAAUAUUUGUGCUGAAGCAGACAUUGGCAACAUAUGAAAUACCGGUAUCCAUACAUUUUAAUCUUUAUCAGAUCAUAUUUCACAAACAGUACACUAUAAUAUUUUGUUUAGAAAUAUCCUCUAACAAUAUCUUCGAGGUGCCGACCCUUUUUCGGUAUACAAAAUACUAAAACGUGGGGUGCUACCCCUUCCCCCCUCACGAAGUUGUACU